rnacentral:rRNA from 1 species
GAUCAAGUGUCUUAAGGGCAUUUGGUGGAUGCCUUGGCAUGCACAGGCGAUGAAGGACGUGAUACGCUGCGAUAAGCGUCGGGGAGGUGCGAAUACCCUUUGAUCCGACGAUUUCCGAAUGGGGCAACCCACCUUAGAUAGCUAGAAAAUUUGAAUUGUUGGAGUGAAACUGCAUGGGUGAGAGCCCAUACAGACCGCUAGGUCGUCGGUUCGAAUGAACCGCCCCUGCGGAGCGAAGCAGCGCAAGCUGCGACAGCGUGAGCAAGAACAGUUCAACUUUCUAGUUAUCGUAAUAAGGUAUCUAACUCUGAAUACAUAGGGGUUAGAA